rnacentral:rRNA from 1 species
UACGAAGGGGGCGAGCGUUGUUCGGAAUUACUGGGCGUAAAGCGUGCGCAGGCGGUUAUGCAAGACAGAUGUGAAAUCCCCGGGCUCAACCUGGGAACUGCAUUUGUGACUGCAUGGCUGGAGUGCGGCAGAGGGGGAUGGAAUUCCGCGUGUAGCAGUGAAAUGCGUAGAUAUGCGGAGGAACACCGAUGGCGAAGGCAAUCCCCUGGGCCUGCACUGACGCUCAUGCACGAAAGCGUGGGGAGCAAACAGG